rnacentral:rRNA from 1 species
GAUGAACGCUGGCGGCGUGCCUAAUACAUGCAAGUCGAGCGAAUGGAUUAAGAGCUUGCUCUUAUGAAGUUAGCGGCGGACGGGUGGGUAACACGUGGGUAACCUGCCCAUAAGACUGGGAUAACUCCGGGAAACCGGGGCUAAUACCGGAUAACAUUUUGAACCGCAUGGUUCGAAAUUGAAAGGCGGCUUCGGCUGUCACUUAUGGAUGGACCCGCGUCGCAUUAGCUAGUUGGUGAGGUAACGGCUCACCAAGGCAACGAUGCGUAGCCGACCUGAGAGGGUGAUCGGCCACACUGGGACUGAGACACGGCCCAGACUCCUACGGGAGGCAGCAGUAGGGAAUCAUCCGCAAUGGACGAAAGUCUGACGGAGCAACGCCGCGUGAGUGAUGAAGUCUUUCGGGUCGUAAAACUCUGUUGUUAGGGAAGAACAAGUGCUAGUUGAAUAAGCUGGCACCUUGACGGUACCUAACCAGAAAGCCACGGCUAACUACGUGCCAGCAGCCGCGGUAA